GCAGUGGAAGUGCUGGUUCAAUACGCAGAAUGGGUGGUUUUAAAGAAAACAUGGACAUGUUGACAUAUGACAUACAUGCAUUGUCUCUCACUUGUGUACAAGGAAAUCAUUUCUUUGCCUCACAUAGCAGACUACUGUAUAUGGGCUGGGUUAAAAUGUGAUUUAACUUUGAAAGAAUAAGGUAAAAAUGCAAAAAAAGACAGUCUCUUGGCUUUUCAAGGUCGCUAUUAUUUUAUUUGUCAUCCAAGUAACAGCAACAGCAGCUGGUCUCUCAAAUGAAUCAUCUGACUAUUCCUGCCAAAUAGUCUUCACUAAAUCAACAGGCUCUUUAAGCGAUGACCAAAUUCCGUUUGAUACAUGGACAGUCUCAAAUGAUGCAAAGACUUCCACAUUUACAACACCUGUCACACCAAAGGCAACGUUAACAAUCAAGUCAAGUGAUGUCCCCACUGCCUCAAUUACAUCAAUGUUCACUUCAAGUGAUGUCAUAAUUCUCGCUACAACAUCAACAGUAAUAUCGAAUGAAGUCAUAACGCCCUCAGCACUCCAUAUUGUCCCUUCAACCGAUGCCAGUACUCUCUCAAAUACAUUGACCUCUCUCAAAUACAUUGAUGCCUCAACUACCAGUCAGAGCUCAAUGGGAGACAUCGUUUCUGCAUCAGCCCUCACAACAUCAACAGCUACUUCAACUGAUGCUCCCUCAAUUACCAUUGUUUUAAAUAAUGCCAAUACUCCUCAUAGUACACUCACAGUCCCUUCAAGUGAUGUCAACAAUCCCUCAACUACAUCAACAGCCACUUCAAACGAUGCCUUAAUGUCUUCUAUUUUUUCUACAGUCACUUUAAGUGAUUCUACUACUUUAUCUACUUCAAUGACAGGCUCUAUAAGUGACGUUCCAGCAAACACUUCAGUGAAAAACACUAUUGUCAGAUGUGUAUCAGGUGCUGUUGUAAAUGCCAUUAGGCUGGAAAAUGUUACUAGUCAGGUUAUCACUGCAAGUUGGAUGGGCAUCAACCUGAAUCAAGAAAUUCAGUACACAGUGAAGUUGGUGUCUUAUUCAUCCUCAAUCCAGAACGAGACCUCAGUCACCAAAGCUGUUUUCUUAGACCUUACUCCAGCAACCAUGUACACUCUCACUAUUGAGUACUUAUCCUGUGGCGUCAAGAAAAACAUUUCAAUAGACGUAGUCACAACUGGAAAAGUCUAUGAUUGUUCCACUCGAAUUCCAGGCGGAGAGUUUUUGUCUGAUUAUUUAAAUCAAUCCAGCAGCCUUUAUAAAGACUUUGUGACCAACUUCACCAUGCAGGUUGUAAAUAAUCUCCCAGAACAGUACCAAGACCUUAUCAAGACUCAACAAAUGAUGGUGGUUGUGAGAGCUGUUCGCAAUGGAAGUCUGAUUGUUGACUUUGAUCUAUUCGUUGCUUCGGUGGUCAACUUAUCAACCUCUGCCGUGCAGAUCAGUGUCAUCAAUGCCUUAAACAGAUCUGCACUCGGAGUAGAUCACAAUAGCACCUUUGUUAAAGAUGCAGAUCUUUGUCAAAGAGGAAAUUACGCAUGCUCACAAAAUGCCAGUUGUGUCACAGAGGGACCUUCAUAUUCAUGUAACUGUCAGGCGGGAUUCUAUGACAUAAACCCAGUGGUGCCUGGUACUGACUGCAUGAGCAUAUCAGUGGAUGCCACCACUACUGCAACAGCAUCAACAGUCUCACCAAGUGAUGCCACCACUGCCUCAAUUACAUCAACAGUCUCUCCAAGUGAUGCCACCACUGCCUCAAUUACAUCAACAGUCUCUCCAAGUGAUGCCACCACUGCCUUAACUACAUCAACAGUCUCUCCAAAGGAUGCCACCACUGACUCAACUACAUCAACAGUCUCGCCAAGUGAUGCCACCACUGCAUCAAUUACAUCAACAGUCUCCUCAAGUGAUGCCACCACUGCCAUAACUAGAUCAAAAGUCUCUCCAAGGGAUGCCACCACUGACUCAACUGCAUCAACAGUCUCUCCAAGUGAUGACUCCACUGCCUCAACUACAUCAACAGUCUCUCCAAGUGAUACCACCACUGACUCAACUACAUCAACAGUCUCUCCAAGUGAUGCCACCACUGCCUUAACUACAUCAACAGUCUCUCCAAAGGAUGCCACCACUGACUCAACUACACCAAUAGUCUUUCCAAGUGAUGCCACCACUGACUCAACUACAUCAACAGUCUCUCCAAGUGAUGACUCCACUGCCUCAACUACAUCAACAGUCUCUCCAAGUGUUGCCACCACUGACUCAACUACAUCAACAGUCUCUCCAAAGGAUUCCACCACUGACUCAACUGCAUCAACAGUCUCUCCAAGAGAUGCCACCACUGCCUCAACUACAUCAACAGGCUCUCCAAGUGAUGCCACCACUGACUCAACUACAUCAACAAUCUCUCCAAGUGAUGCCACCACUGACUCAACUGCAUCAACAGUCUCUCCAAGUGAUGCCACCACUGACUCAACAACAUCAACAGUUUCACCUAGUGAUGCCAACACUGCCUCAUUUACAUCAACAGUCUCUCCAAGUGAUACCACCACUGCCUUAACGAGAUCAACAGUCUCUCCAACGGAUGGCACCACUAAUUCAACUGCAUCAACAGUCUCUCCAAGUGAUGCCACCACUGCCUUAACUGCAUCAACAGUCUCUCCAAGAGAUGCCACCACUGCCUCAACUGCAUCAACAGUCUCUCCAAGUGUUGCCACCACUGACUCAACUACAUUGACAGUCUCUCCAAAGGAUGCCACCACUGACUCAACUGCAUCAACAGUCUCUCCAAGUGAUGCCACCACUGACUCAACUACAUCAACAGUCUCUCCAAGUGAUGCCACCACUGACUCAAUUACAUCAACAGUCUCUCCAAGUGAUGCCACCACUGACUCAACUACAUCAACAGUCUCUCCAAGUGAUGCCACAACUGCCUCAAUUACAUCAACUGUCUCUCCAAGGGAUGCCACCACUGCCUCAUCUACAUCAACAGUCUCUCUUAGUGAUGCAACCCCUGCCUUAACUACACCAACAAUCUCUUCAAGUGAUGCCACCACUGACUCAACUACACCAACAGUCUCGCUAAGUGAUGCCACCACUGCUUCAAGUACACCAACAGUCUCUUUAAGUGAUGCAACCACUGCCUUAACUACAUCAACAGUCUCUCCAAAGGAUGCCACCACUGACUCAACUGCAUCAACAGUCUCUCCAAAGGAUGCCACCACUGACUCAACUGCAUCAACAGUCUCUCCAAAGGAUGCCACCACUGCCUCAACUACAUCAACAGUCUCUCCAAGUGAUACCACCACUGACUCAACUACAUCAACAGUCUCUCCAAGUGAUCCCACCACUGACUCAACUACAUCAACAGUCUCACCUAGUGAUGCCACCACUGCCUCAUUUACAUCAACAGUCUCUCCUAGUGAUGCCACCACUGCCUCAUUUACAUCAACAGUCUCUCCUAGUGAUGCCACCACUGCCUCAAUCACAUCAACUGUCUCUCCAAGUGAUGCCACCACUGCUUCAACUACACCAACAGUCUCUCUAAGUGAUGCAACCACUGCCUUAACUACAUCAACAGUCUCUCCAAAGGAUGCCACCACUGACUCAACUGCAUCAACAGUCUCUCCAAAGGAUGCCACCACUGCCUCAACUGCAUCAACAGUCUCUCCAAAGGAUGCCACCACUGCCUCAACUACAUCAACAGUCUCUUCAAGUGAUGCCACCACUGCUUCAACUACAUCAACAGUUUAUCUAAGUGAUACAACCACUGCCUUAACUACAUCAACAGUCUCUCCAAGUGAUGCCACCACUGCCUUAACUUCAUCAACAGUCUCACCAAAGGAUGCCACCACCGACUCAACUACAUCAACAGUCUCUCCAAGUGAUGCCACAACUGCCUCAAUUACAUCAAAAGUCUCUCCAAGGGAUGCCACCACUGCCUCAACUACAUCAACAGUCUUUCUAAGUGAUGCAACCACUGCCUUAACUACACCAACAAUCUCUCCAAGUGAUGCCACCACUGACUCAACUACAUCACAAGUCUCGAUAAGUGAUGCCACCACUGCCUCAAUUACAUCAACUGUCUCUCCAAGUGAUGCCACCACUGCUUCAACUACAUCAACAGUCUCUCUAAGUGAUGCAACCACUGCCUUAACUACAUCAACAGUCUCUCCAAGUGAUGCCACCACUGCCUCAAUUACAUCAACAGUCUCUCCAAGUGAUGCCACCACUGCUUCAACUAUAUCAACAGACUCUCUAAGUGAUGCAACCACUGCCGUAACUACAUCCACAGUCUCUCCAAAGGAUGCCACCACUGACUCAACUGCAUCAACAGUCUCUCCAAAGGAUGCCACCACUGACUCAACUAAAUCAACAGUCUCUCUAAGUGAUGCCACCACUGACUCAACUACAUCAACAGUCUCUCCAAGUGAUGCCACCACUGCCCUAACUACAUCAACAGUCUCUCCAAAGGAUGCCACCACUGACUCAACUACACCAACAGUCUCUCCAAGUGAUGCCACAACUUACUCAACUACAUCAACAGUCUCUCCAAGUGAAGUCAUUAGUCCCUUUACCUCGUUGACGUUCACGUCAAGUGAUAACUCCACUACCCGUCAGAGCUCAAUGGGAGACAUUGUUUCUGCAUCAGCCCCCACAGCAUCAACAGCUACUUCGAGUGUUGCCAUCUCUUCCUUAACUCUUUCCACAGUCUCAUCAAGUGAUGUAACCCCUCCCUCAAAUAUAUUGCCGGUCUCUUCAGUUGAUGCCAGAACUUCCCCUGCUCUGUCUAGAGUCACUUCAACUGAUACCACCACUUCAGGUGAUGUCAUCACUUCCUCUAUGACAUUGACAGUCACUUCAAGUGAUGCCUCUAGAAGAAAUCAGACCUCAAUGGGAGAAACUCUUACUGCAACAGCUCCCACAAUAUCAACAGUCCCUUCAACUGAUGCUCCCUCAAAUACCGUUGUUUUAAAUGAUGCCAAAACUCCUCAUAGUACAAUCACAGUCCCUUCAAGUGAUGCCAACAAUCCCUCAACUACAUCAACAGCCACUUCAAACGAUGCCUUAAUGUCUUCUAUUCUUUCUACAGUCACUUUAAGUGAUUCUACUACUUUAUCUACUUCAAUGACAGGCUCUACAAAUGAUGUUCCAGCAAACACUUCAGUGAAAAACACUACUGUCAGAUGUGUAUCAAGUGCUGUUGUAAAUGCCAUUAGGCUGGAAAAUGUUACUAAUCAGGUUAUCACUGCAAGUUGGAUGGGCAUCAACCUGAAUCAAGAAAUUCAGUACACAGUGAAGUUGGUGUCUUAUUCAUCCUCAAUCCAGAACGAGACCUCAGUCACCAAAGCUGUUUUCUUAGACCUUACUCCAGCAACCAUGUACACUCUCACUAUUGAGUACUUAUCCUGUGGCGUCAAGAAAAACAUUUCAAUAGACGUAGUCACAACUGGAAAGGUCUAUGAAUGUUCCACUCGAAUUCCGAGUGGAGAGUUUUUCUCUGAUUAUUUAAAUCAAUCCAGCAGCCUUUAUAAAGACUUUGUGAUCAAUUUCACCAUCCAGGUUGUAAAUAAUCUCCCAAAACAAUACCAGGACCUUAUAAGUGCUCAACAAAUGAUGGUGAUUGUGAGAGAUGUUCGCCAAGGAAGUGUGAUCGUUGACUUUGAUCUGGUGACUGCUUUCGAUGUUAACCUAUCAACGUCUGAUGUCAGGACGAGUGUCAUCAAUGCCCUGAACUUAUCUACACUCAGAGUAGAUCUCAAUAGUACCCAUGUUCAAGAUGCAGAUCUUUGCCAAAGAGGAAUUUACGCAUGCUCACAAAAUGCCAGUUGUGUCACAGAGGGACCUUCAUAUUCAUGUAACUGUAAGGCGGGAUUCAAUGACAUAAACCCAGUGGUGCCUGGUACUGACUGCAUGAUCAUAUCAGUGGAUGCCACCACUGACUCAACUGCAUCAACAGUCUCUCCAAGUGAUGCAACCACUGCCUUAACUACAUCAACAGUCUCUCCAAGUGAUGCCACCACUGCCUCAAUUACAUCAACAGUCUCUCCAAGUGAUGCCACCACUGCCUCAAUUACAUCAAUAGUCUCUCCAAGUGAUGCCACCACUGACUCAACUCCAUCAACAGUCUCUCCAAGUGAUGCCACCACUGCCUCAACUACAUCAACAGUCUCUCCAAGUUAUGCCACCACUGACUCAACUGCAUCAACAGUCUCUCCAAGUGAUGCCACCACUGCCUCAACUACAUCAACAGUCUCUCCAAGUGAUGCCACCACUGCCUUAACUACAUCAACAGUCUCUCCAAAGGAUGUCAUUAGUCCCUCUACCUCGUUGACGUUCACUUCAAGUGAUAGCUCCACUACCCUUCAGGCCUCAAUGGGAGACAUUGUUUCUGCAUCAGCCCCCACAACAUCAGCAGCUACUUCAAGUGUUGCCAUCUCUUCCUUUAGGAUAUCGGCAGUUUCCUCAAGUGAUGUCACCUAUCUCUCAACUAGAUUGCCAGUCUCUUCAAUUGAUGCCAGAACUUCCUCUGCACCUUCUAGAGUCAUUUCAACUGAUACCACCAUUUCAAGUGAUGUCAUCACUUCCUCUAAGAUUUCGACAGUCACCUCGAGUGAUUCUUCAUCUACCAGCCAAUCCUCACUGGGAAGCACUGUUUUGACAACAGUCUUCACCAAUGCAUCCAUAGAAACUAAAGUCCCAACAAUAUUAACAGUGAUUUCAACUGAUGCCACCAUUCCUCCUUCUACAUCAACAGUCUCUUCAAAUAGUGUUUCCUCAUCUACAUCAGUACAUCCAAUUAAUGUCAAAACAACUUCCCAGACAUCCUCUUCAAUUCAGAAUCUGUCGUAUACAUAUUCAGUAACUUCAAGUGAUGCCUCCAAUUCCAGUCAAACCUCAGUGAGAAGCAUUGAUUCAUCAACUGCCACAAUAAACACUAAUGCAUCCAUAGAGACUUUAGCCCCCUUGACAUCAACAGUGAAUUCAAGUGAUUCCAAUACUCCUUCUAUAUCUUCUACAGUAAUUUCCAAUGCCACAUCUCCCUAUUCGACAUUGAUAGUCACUGCAAGUUAUGCCACCACUCCCUUUGCUAGAUCACAAGUAACAAGUCUGGCCACCACUCUAAGACCAACUCCUUCCUCAUCCAGUGCUACUCCAGUGACGACAAGACCAGAAACAACCUCAACUGCAGUCCCAGUAAUCAAUUCUUCAGACACCUCACUUGGAACCGUAUCAAGAGACACCACUUUGGUGACUACUGUCCAAAAUACUUUUACAGGAUGUGGUGCUGUAGUGAAUGCCAUCCGGCUAGAAAAUAUCACUAGCCAGGUUAUCAUUGUGAGUUGGAUGGGAAUCAACCUGAAUCAAGAAAUUCAGUACAUAGUGAAGUUGGUGUCUUAUUCAUCCUCAAUCCAGAACGAGACCUCAGUCACCAAAGCUGUUUUCUCAGACCUUACUCCAGCAACCAUGUACACUCUCACUAUUGAGUACUUAUCCUGUGGCGUCAAGAAAAACAUUUCAAUAGACGUAGUCACAACUGGAAAGGUCUAUGAAUGUUCCACUCGAAUUCCGAGUGGAGAGUUUUUCUCUGAUUAUUUAAAUCAAUCCAGCAGCCUUUAUAAAGACUUUGUGAUCAAUUUCACCAUCCAGGUUGAGACUAAUCUCCCAAAACAAUACCAGGACCUUAUAAGUGCUCAACAAAUGAUGGUGAUUGUGAGAGAUGUUCGCCAAGGAAGUGUGAUCGUUGACUUUGAUCUGGUGACUGCUUUCGAUGUUAACCUAUCAACGUCUGAUGUCAGGACGAGUGUCAUCAAUGCCCUGAACUUAUCUACACUCAGAGUAGAUCUCAAUAGUACCCAUGUUCAAGAUGCAAAUCUCUGCCAACGAGGAAAUUACGCAUGCUCACAAAAUGCCAGUUGUGUCACAGAGGGACCUUCAUAUUCCUGUAAAUGUCAGGUGGGAUUGUACAGUGAAAACCCUGCCUUGCCUGGUACUGCCUGCAUGAUCACUUCAAGUAAUGCCACCACUCCCUCAACUUCAUUCACAGUCUCUUCAAGUGAUGCCAUAACUCUCCCUGCUCCAUCAACAGUCACUUCAGGAGUUCCCCAAAUAUCAAUGGCCCCAGCUGAAGGCUGGAAAGUAGCAACCAUAGUCCUUGGAGUUCUGCUGGGCUUCAUUUUGUUAGUUGUGGUUUUUGCUUUGAUCAUGACUGCACUGAGAUCAACUAACAGGAUCAUGUCAUACAACAUCCAUCAGCCAGAGGACAACAUACAGGUGGUGUCCACUGACUACAUACAUAAACACUAUUCUAACUGUGUGUAG
rnacentral:lncRNA from 1 species